rnacentral:misc_RNA from 1 species
AAGUUCAAUUUGGUCAAAUUAUCCAGCCGCCCAAAUGUAUCAGGUAAAGCUUGAAUCUGGUUAUUGCUGAGGUCAAGUUCCUUGAGGUUUGUCAAAUCACCCAACGUAUCAGGGAGUUCUGUCAGGUCAUUAAAAUUAUUGCUCAAGUUGAGGAUCUCAAGAUUUGUCAAUCUCCCAAUUGAAAGUGGAAGGCCCUGAAGCUCAUUGAAGUGAGCAUCAAGAUGCUGCAGCGAUCUCAUUUCACCAAUAGAAGUGGGAAGAGAACGAAUCUUGUUCAACUGGACUGACAGCCUCUUAAGAUUCACCAACUCAUAUCCAAUAUUAGUUGGCAAGUAUGUAAGACGGUUGAAGCUCACAUCCAACUCCAGCAAUGACCUGCAAUGACAAAUGGAGUCAGGUAAAGAAUCUAGCUUAUUACUGGAGACAUCUAGAAUUUUCAAGUUCUGUAGCAAUCCAAUAGAAUCUGGCAAUGCUUCCAAAAGAUUUGAAGCAAGAUUGAGCUCCUCGAGAUUUUCCAACCCAGCUAUUGAAUCAGGAAUGACCUCAAGCUGAUUAUUAGA